AGUUACUUUGGCAGAUUAGUGCAAUUGAUUUAGAAUCAUUUUAUGUAAAUUUUUACAGGUAAUAU
rnacentral:tRNA from 1 species